rnacentral:rRNA from 1 species
UACGUAGGGUGCUAGCGUUGUUCGGAAUCAUUGGGCGUAAAGCGCGUGUAGGCGGCUAAUAAAGUCGGGUGUGAAAUCCCUGGGCUCAACCGAGGAAGUGCAUCCGAAACUUAUUAGCUGGAGAACGGUAGAGGAAGGUGGAAUUCCAAGUGUAGAGGUGAAAUUCGUAGAUAUUUGGAGGAAUACCGGUGGCGAAGGCGGCCUUCUGGACCGCUUCUGACGCUGAGACGCGAAAGCGUGGGGAGCAAACAGG